rnacentral:rRNA from 1 species
UACGUAGGGGGCAAGCGUUGUCCGGAAUCAUUGGGCGUAAAGAGCGUGUAGGCGGCUCGGUAAGUCCGCUCUGAAAGCCCGGGGCUCAACCCCGGGAGGCGGGCGGAUACUGUCGGGCUAGAGUCCGGAAGAGGCGAGUGGAACUCCUGGUGUAGCGGUGAAAUGCGCAGAUAUCAGGAAGAACACCAAUGGCGAAGGCAGCUCGCUGGGACGGUACUGACGCUGAGACGCGAAAGCGUGGGGAGCAAACAGG